AGUGAGCGCUGGCGGCGUGCUUAACACAUGCAAGUCGAACGAGAACGGAAUAUAGCUUGCUAUAUUUGUCAGCUAAGUGGCGCACGGGUGAGUAAUGUAUAGAUAACCUGCCCUUAAGAAAGGAAUAACAGUUGGAAACGUCUGCUAAUGCCCUAUAUGCCUUUAAUACAUAAGUAUGCAAGGGAAACGCUUUAGUGCUUAAGGAUGGGUCUGUAUGGUAUCAGCUUGUUGGUGAGGUAAUGGCUCACCAAGGCUAUGACGCCUAACUGGUUUGAGAGGAUGAUCAGUCACACUGGAACUGAGACACGGUCCAGACUCCUACGGGAGGCAGCAGUGGGGAAUAUUGCACAAUGGACGAAAGUCUGAUGCAGCAACGCCGCGUGGAGGAUGACACAUUUCGGUGCGUAAACUCCUUUUAUAUAGGAAGAUAAUGACGGUACUAUAUGAAUAAGCACCGGCUAACUCCGUGCCAGCCGCCGCGGUAA
rnacentral:rRNA from 1 species